UCCCGGCUAGCUCGCCUCCCCAGGCGGCGGCGGCGGCGUCGAAAAAGGAAGAGGCGACGGCACAUCCAGUGCACUCUCUGCUGUCUGAAGGGCCAUUCUUCACGGGCUGCAAGGAUAUGAGAAACACAGUGGUGGAAGAUACCAGCCUGAGGAAGAUACCAGUGAGGCCUGAGAAAAUGCCUUUCAGCAAAAUUAAAAUCAGGCCGUGGAGGGGGAACUUUCAAUCUGGAGCAAUCAAGCUCCAAGAGAGACAGCUCCUUUAGGACACUGCUCAAGUUAGGAUGGGGACGCAUCCUCUGGCUUGAAGGUCCCAGAAUUCAGAAGUAGUAUGGCUCUCUUCAUCCAUCGAUAUCCACCCCCAGGAAUUUGCGCUAGAGGCUCAUGUAAGUUAUUUCCUUCAUUGACACUCCUGCCCUCCUUCCCCAAGAUAUUUCUGUUUUGUUGGCUAAUUCCCUUUGGUAACUGAUUUUGCAGCUGUUAGGAGAGUUUCCUGUGUUUAUUUCAUUACAUAGGAAAGAAAGGGAGAACUCCGAGUGGACCAAAAGGAUUAGAAAAAUGAUGCCUGGAUGCCUGACGCCCACACGCACCCCUACCCACCUGUCUGGGAGCCGCCUGCCUCUUGUGCUGCCGUCUCUGCCUCCUCCUCCCGCUUCGGAUGCUGCCACCGCUGCCGCCGUUCUCUCAAGGGCUGGCGGAACUGAGCAGCCCCC